rnacentral:rRNA from 1 species
AUUGAACGCUGGCGGCAUGCCUUACACAUGCAGGUCGAACGGCAGCACGGGUGCUUGCACCUGGUGGCGAGUGGCGAACGGGUGAGUAAUACAUCGGAACAUGUCCUGUAGUGGGGGAUAGCCCGGCGAAAGCCGGAUUAAUACCGCAUACGAUCCACGGAUGAAAGCGGGGGACCUUCGGGCCUCGCGCUAUAGGGUUGGCCGAUGGCUGAUUAGCUAGUUGGUGGGGUAAAGGCCUACCAAGGCGACGAUCAGUAGCUGGUCUGAGAGGACGACCAGCCACACUGGGACUGAGACACGGCCCAGACUCCUACGGGAGGCAGCAGUGGGGAAUUUUGGACAAUGGGCGAAAGCCUGAUCCAGCAAUGCCGCGUGUGUGAAGAAGGCCUUCGGGUUGUAAAGCACUUUUGUCCGGAAAGAAAUCCUUGACUCUAAUACAGUCGGGGGAUGACGGUACCGGAAGAAUAAGCACCGGCUAACUACGUG